GGGAGGUCGUGGCCGGAUACUGCACCAGGGUGGUCAAUUUCUGUUCUGGUGAGGGAGUGUGUUACCGGUUAUGGUC
rnacentral:lncRNA from 1 species